GAUGGCACUUUAUUUAACCAAAGCAGUUUCAGCGCUGCCUCUGUUGGAGGAUCAAGUGCAGCCACUGGAAUGCGACUCUGCUGAACCUCAUAUGUUGACCGGACAGAAAAGAAACCAGCAGAAUUUGGAAGCAAUUUGCGCCGAUCACUAUUGAUGCGAUUAGGCUGCACAUGUUCUAACAAAGCAUAUAAAUCGUGCUCUGCUACUACCUCCGUAUCGAUAAGUGCUUCAGUCCAAACAAGCUUCCAAGACCAAAUAUCAUUAUCCAAAUUUCCCAUAUCCGAUACAUAACCAUCUUGCUGAGUAGAUUUGUUGAACAGUGAUGGAAACAAAACACGUAAAGGUGUCAUUCCUAUCCAUUUCUCUUUCCAAAAAUCAAGGUUCUUCCCAUCUCCAAAGAUACUACUAAUGUUGUUACCGAACCAUCCCCUUUCCUCCACAUUACCCAAACUCCAAAUGUCGUGCCACCAUAUUGAAGCUUGUUUAAGCCCUUCUCUUCUUUCGUCAAACAAAAAAAUUUAUGCAAAAUUAAUAACCAUAACGAAACAACAGAAUAUCGUACCAAGGGGCAU
rnacentral:lncRNA from 1 species